GUAUUUCUCUUCAUUUCAAAUCCCUGUCGUGGCAGCACGGGUAAGGCAGAGGACUUUUCUCCCCUUCAAACUAAGGGGAAAACCCACCAGCGAGAAUCUAGUGCACGUCCUAAAGAGCAAACGGAGGACUUUGGGAGGAGGAAACAGUAGUUUGAAGGCACGCUGCGGUGGCAUCGGCUCGCUGUGUGCACUAGUGUCUCCACGCUUGCACUGGAUACACGAAGCAGGACGUUUUCACUGAUCUGCGACUCGCAGGAUCCCCGUGAUCUCCCUGAAAGCCGCCAAACGUUCACACGGACGGCGACCAACAGUUCCAGCAGACCCAGGCCUGGGGAAAUCAUUAACCAAAAACAAAGCACAACAGGACACUGGUGGGUCUGCGGUAUUGCGCCGGUCAUGUGGGGAUUGGGGGUGACCGCCGGUCGCUGCAGGAGUGAGUUAGCUGGAGAAGGCACAAUAUUUACCUCAUCUGUUCAAAUGAUGGCGUGUUGAGAGGAAGGCAUGGCAGCAUGACGUUUACUAAAGCAGGAUGGAACGAGACCCUGAGGCCUCACAGACUCUCCCAGCCGUGACUGUUUGUCUGAGAGAGCGCUAACUCCCAUGAACGAUAUACACUUGACAGAAAGCCACUGCCUUUUUGCUGUGUGUGUGUGUGUGUGUGUGUGUGU
ensembl:lncRNA